CCUACGGGGGGCAGCAGUGGGGAAUAUUGGACAAUGGGGGGAACCCUGAUCCAGCCAUGCCGCGUGUGUGAAGAAGGCCCUCGGGUUGUAAAGCACUUUCAGUGAGGAAGAACGCCUGGUGGUUAAUACCCAUCAGGAAAGACAUCACUCACAGAAGAAGCACCGGCUAACUCCGUGCCAGCAGCCGCGGUAAUACGGAGGGUGCGAGCGUUAAUCGGAAUUACUGGGCGUAAAGCGCGCGUAGGUGGCUUGAUAAGCCGGUUGUGAAAGCCCCGGGCUCAACCUGGGAACGGCAUCCGGAACUGUCAAGCUAGAGUGCAGGAGAGGAAGGUAGAAUUCCCGGUGUAGCGGUGAAAUGCGUAGAGAUCGGGAGGAAUACCAGUGGCGAAGGCGGCCUUCUGGACCGACACUGACACUGAGGUGCGAAAGCGUGGGUAGCAAACAGGAUUAGAUACCCCAGUAGUC
rnacentral:rRNA from 1 species